CUCGCCUGAGUCCCGACCUGGGUUAGGGGACGACGAUGCGGCAAAUAAACUCGGUGUGUCUGUUAACGUGGCGCUGUCAUUACCAUUGAGUAUAAAAGGAAGCAGUCUUAGUUUUGUUUCCCCUCACGCGCCUAAAGCGUCUACUCCCUCCUCCCAACCUGGAUCUUUUUCACCCGACACACGGCGACAAGCAUUCACGAGAAUGGGAGAAGCCUGGCAGCAAAAACACUGAAGAGGAGUCGGAAGAGCUGGCACAGCAAAAGUCAGCAGAUCAAAGGGAGACACGGUUUGGUGUGCUUUAGCACCCCCUGGAGUAGCUGUUGGCUAGCCACUUUACUAUUGGCUAACAGAGGUCCUGGUAAAUAAAGACUCCUGAGAGGAGGAAUCGUGACCACAAGGAAAUGCUGUAGUGUCGAUAAACCCGACAUGGAAGUAAGAGUGUCACAGACAGGCGUGUCACACUAUGAGCUGCGAGCGGCUAGCCAACAAGACGGGUGGAGUGGCGCCACUAACCAGCAGACUGGUUUUCAUAGCUCAGAUCACGGAAGCGCGGCACGCAGAGGAGUCGGUGGGACUCUGGUAGCGAUGGGACGGUGUCGGUGGCUGAGAGGAGACGUUACAUGAGUCAGUACAGCCGCAAAAUGAGAAUGUACGCUGUAUGAAACACGAGUAACACCGCUACUUUUAAAUAUGUUCAUAAAAUUAACACGUUCAUUAUCAAUGUUGUUCCUGAGAGAGUGCGUUUGUGUGGUGAUGGACUAGAGGGGAUCAUGUCACGGUUUUCAGUCACUUGUCGGAUUGUUUUUUAGAUCAGCAGAAGAAAAAAGUUUUGCUCUCUCUCUCUUUAUUUCAUAUUUGAUCGCUGAUUACAUGUUAAAACAGCUUGCCCUAUAUAGACACGCUCUCCCUUUGUGUUAAGCUUUCACCCAGUUCCUCGCCUUUCUGACGCGCAGUUUAUUUUUCUCCAGCGUACGACACGCUGCAGCCUCUUCUAGUCGCUGAUGGUAGCUCCAGCGUAUCACACGGUGAUAGAAGAGCUGCAUCAGGAAGUUCAUCCUCUGCUGGGCCUUUUCACGAUGGAGGUGAUGGUGGUGCCUAGGAAGUGACACGAGUGUCUAUCUCCAGCGGUCAAUGGUGCGGGGUACACCCUGGACAGAGAGCCAGUUCAUCGCAGGGCAACACAGGAAAAACAAUUAUGCAAGCACGCACGCACACACACACACACACACACACACACACCCACCCCUAAGGACAAUUUAGACACACCAAUCAACCUAACAGUCAUGUUUUUGGACCGUGGGAGGAAGCUGGAGCACCCGGAGAGAACCCACGCAUGCACAGGGAGAACAUGCUAACUCCAUGCAGAAAGAUCCCAGGCCUUCUUGCUGCAAGGCAACAGCUCUAACCACUGUGCCACAGCGCAGCCCUGUGGCGCAAUCAUGUUCUUUUAAUAAAAGAUUAGGCAGUAGCAGCAUAAAGGAGGUAUGAGGAGGUCUCUGGGAUGCCGCAGACUUCCGUUUAUCUUGAACAUAACUUACUUUUUGUUGCGGUUGAAGCCGCGAUCGUUACAAUUUUUUACCGCCGCUCCUCAGGUGUCUGUCCUCAUCAGUCCCAGUUCAGUCUCUGAUGACCUGAGCUCCAGCUCUAACAGAGAGACGCUCAUGGAGCACUGCCGUCUCAGCUGAUUUUGUUCAAAAGCAAAACUUAUUAUCCGUGUUUACUUUCAUUUUCUGGUCCGAGUUCGGUAUUAACUCCCCACAUCAUCAUAUCACCUCCCUCUGUUGCACCAUGUUACAAUAGUCGUUUAUAAGACAGUUACCAAAAUAUUACUACCAAGAGAGGCGGAACAAAUGCCACAAAAUCUGCAUUUAUGUGUUAUAAGACACACCGUUGCUGUAAUAUUACGCCGAUUUGCCGGCAUGGCGUGUCUUGUAAAUCAGGCUUUAGUGAUACUAUUUUUGGAGGUGUGAGACCUGCUUGGUGGCUCAUCGAAACAACAGUAAAAGUUGUUUAAACUGUUGGUCAGGAGCAGAUCAUCAGUGGAGGCAGGUGAUUUAAGUCUGUAGUUGGUGAUUUUCCAGAAGGCGUUCCACGCAGAGGCUGCUGGAUGUUGUCAUGGUUAGUGCUGUAGUGAAGCCUCGAUGACGUCGACGGCUCGAUUCUAAAAUGUCGUCAACGUGAGAUCCGGUAGUCGACGCACCACGCCCACUUGUUGCAUCCCCAGGAGUUUGUAAAUAGAGGAGGAAUCUGCCUGUUUUUCCUCUAGUUCGCCCUCUUUUCCGCCUUCACUAACAUCUCCAUCAAAUACCGAAGACCCGGAACAAAGUCCGUCCGCUACUAGAUUCCUUUCCUGUUUUGCCCGCCUUCGUCUCCCGGCAACGGACAACAACUUCCGGGGUCAAAUGCGCUGCUUCGUCUCUACCGCAGAUGUAGAAAAUCACCGGGAGCGUUUCUCCCUUCAUAAAGGAGCUUCUUUCAGACAUUAGGAGAGCUGUUUUGGUGGUAACAGUCUCUCCUCCGUGCUGGUCUGUUUGCUGCUGGGUGUUUUUGGUUUAUUUAAACUUGGUAACUUGAACUUAACGUUGGUAAAGCUACUGUUAGCAUUUUGGCUAACAGCUUCUUGCGUUUGGAUAAGCAGUUACAUUUUGGUUUAGAGUUCAUCUUUUUUGUGGUGCAGAUCUCCCUUUUAUUACAUUUAGAGUGUUGUGGGUUUUCGGUUUCGUUUAAAAUAUCACCUGAGUUUGGUUUAACCACCCAGUUUAGAGUUGGACCUUUGGAGAUUCUUAUUUUGGUCCAGAACCCAGUAAUCUUUGCCCAGUGGGACAUCCCUACUUAUUUGUACUUUUGUUUUAAUUCCCCACAGGCAGAAUUAGUUUUAUUAUUCCCAACCUGUGGAUGGAAAGGUUUAUGUUUUUUGUAGUUGUAAAUAAACCUGAUCAUCAUUUUAACUUUUAAAUCCCGUUAUUGUCCCUUCCUUUUUGCACACGAGCCAAACUCCCCAGGAAGAGUCGUAACACCACUCGCCUCACGCACAUAAGUGACCAAAACAAAGCAGCAUGGAGACACUCCGUCUCCAACCACCUCUCAGGCAGCAGCCUGCACUCCCAAGUUCUACACGUCACCAGAACAUAACCAACCGCAACACAAUAAAAGCAGUGUUAUACAAAAUGGAAGGCCUGUAGUGUAACAACUUAUCAGUUUUUUUGAGGAAUUUAUUAGAGAUUUUUUGGUUUUUAUUAAUUGUGCAAUAAAAAUAAUCAUCAGAUUAAUCGUCUAAAUAGUCAUUAGAAUAGUCGACUAUUCGAUAAAAUAAUCGUUUUAAAAAUAAUCGUUUACCCCCAGCCCUAG